rnacentral:rRNA from 1 species
UACAGAGAGUGCGAACGUUGUUCGGAAUUACUGGGCUUAAAGCGCACGUAGGCGGCAUUGUAAGUGUCUGGUGAAAUCCCACGGCUCACCCGUGGAACUGCCAGGCAUACUGUGAUGCUCGAGUGUGGUAGGGGAGAGCGGAACUCCUGGUGGAGCGGUGAAAUGCGUAGAUAUCAGGAGGAACACCGGUGGCGAAGGCGGCCUCUCUCGGUCACAACUGACGCUGAGGUGCGAAAGCUAGGGGAGCAAACGGG